UGAAUACGAGAUGCUACGGCGUCGAAGCAGUGUAUGUCAGACUUCCAAGAAAAGCUCGCAAUGUCAUAAAUAAAGAAUGCCUGUACCAUAACCGACACAGGUGGGUAGGUAGAGUAUACUAAGGGGCGCGAGAUAACUCUCUCUAAGGAACUCGGCAAAAUAACUCCGUAACUUCGGGAGAAGGAGUGCCUUCUUUAAGAAGGUUGCAAUAACAAGAUCCAAGCAACUGUUUAUCAAAAACACAGGUCUCCGCUAAGUCGUAAGACGAUGUAUGGGGGCUGACGCCUGCCCAGUGCCAGAAGGUUAAAGAAGUUGGUUAGCUUUUGCGAAGCUGAUGACUGAAGCCCUGGUGAACGGCGGCCGUAACAAUAACGGUCCUAAGGUAGCGAAAUUCCUUGUCGGGUAAGUUCCGACCCGCACGAAAGGCGUAAUGAUUUGGAUACUGUCUCGGAGAGGGACUCGGUGAAAUAGACUUGUCUGUGAAGAUGCGGACUACCUGCACCAGGACAGAAAGACCCUAUGAAGCUUUACUGUAACUUGAAAUUGAAAUUGGACCUUAUUUGCGCAGUAUAGGUGGAAGGCGUUGAAAGUAAUCUUGCGGGAUUAGUGGAGCCAUCAGUGAGAUACCACUCCUAUAAUGUUAGAUUUCUAACUUUGGAUCAUGAUCUGGUCAAAGAACAGUUUCAGGCGGGCAGUUUGUCUGGGGCGGUCGCCUCCCAAAUGGUAACGGAGGCGUACAAAGGUUUCCUCUGAACGGGUAGAAAUCGUAUCUAGAGUGUAAAGGCAUAAGGAAGCUUGACUGUGAGACCUACAAGUCGAGCAGGGACGAAAGUCGGUCUUAGUGAUCUGACGGUGCUGAGUGGAAAGGCCGUCACUCAACGGAUAAAAGUUACUCUAGGAUAACAGGCUGAUCUCCCCCAAGAGUUCACAUCGACGGGGAGGUUUGGCACCUCGACGUCGGCUCAUCGCAUCCUGGGGCGGUAGUACGUCCCAAGGGUUGGGCUGUUCGCCCAUGAAAGCGGUACGCGAGCUGGGUUCAGAACGUCGUGAGACAGUUCGGUCCAUAUCCGGUGUAGGCGUUAGAAUAUUGAGAGGAGCCUUCUUUAGUACGAGAGGACCGAGAAGGACAUACCUCUGGUGUACCAGUUAUCGUGCCAACGGUAAACGCUGGGUAGCUAUGUAUGGAGAGGAUAACCGCUGAAAGCAUCUAAGUGGGAAGCCCACCUCAAGAUGAG
rnacentral:rRNA from 1 species